rnacentral:rRNA from 1 species
GCAGUCGAACGAUGAUGACUGGAGCUUGCUUUGGUUUGAUUAGUGGCGAACGGGUGAGUAACACGUGAGUAACCUGCCCCUCACUUCGGGAUAACCAUUGGAAACGGUGGCUAAUACUGGAUAUGACACAUGGCCGCAUGGUCUGUGUGUGGAAAGAUCUUUUUUGGUGGGGGAUGGGCUCGCGGCCUAUCAGCUUGUUGGUGGGGUGAUGGCCUACCAAGGCUUUGACGGGUAGCCGGCCUGAGAGGGCGACCGGCCACACUGGGACUGAAACACGGCCCAGACUCCUACGGGAGGCAGCAGUGGGGAAUAUUGCACAAUGGGGGAAACCCUGAUGCAGCGACGCCACGUGGGGGAUGAAGGCCUUCGGGUUGUAAACCCCUUUCAGUAGGGAACAAGGCCAUGAUUGUUGUUGUGGUUGAGGGUACUUGCAGAAGAAGCGCCGGCUAACUACGUGCCAGCAGCCGCGGUAAUACGUAGGGCGCAAGCGUUGUCCAGAAUUAUUGGGCGUAAAGAGCUCGUAGGCGGUUUGUCGCGUCUGCCGUGAAAACCCGAUGCUUAACGUCGGGCUUGCGGUGGCUACGGGCAGGCUAGACUGCGGUAGGGGUGACUGGAAUUCCUGGUGUAGCGGUGGAAUG